CCCAGGCCCAAAAACUAAAAUGAUCCAGCCGAAAUCCCCUCUACCUAAGACCCCCUUUCUAAUAACCUAAGAGAUCAGAUCAUGACACCCCUUCAUUAGAACCAAAAGCGGCAGAUCUCCAAAAAAAAGAAAAGAAAAGACUCCUGAAGCAGCCUCUUCUCCUCUUCAUCUUCUCCAUUGAAGACCACUCAGCAGCGACUGACUUCUCUUUCUCCAUACCAGGCACCGCCGAGACACUUUCCACCCAUCCUCACUGAUUUUCCCCAAAGAAAACAAUUUGAAAAUUUCAAAAAAAUAAAAGAAGAAGAAGUUGUGGUAGAAAAAUUGCUGUUGCUCGUUUUUCGGAUCUGCCGCUCUGUUGUCCAGAGUUUCAGAUCUGGGAUUGGUUUGGUUUAGCUGAUUUUCCUUACAAAUAGGUCAAUCCUAGUUCAAAUUCAGGUGUGUUUGUGUGCAGCGAUUGUUGAGUUCAGGCCGUCAGAGUUUUGGAGAAUGCAAGAAAAGGACAAGAUAGGAAGGAGGAAAGCAGGAUUGCGGAUGCCAUGCAGCUACCUUGCAAUCUCCGGCAAACUCUGGAUAAGCUGAGGACCCUCAUUCUGCCGCUCGGGCACCUAGAUCAGCACACAAGGUGCAAGGAGUAAUAUCCAGGUAAUUCUUCUCAGGUCUAUCAUCCUUGAGGGAGGUGACUAUUCAGAGACUUCGAGGUAUAUACUUCUGGUAGUCUAUUGGGCAUAGAGGCGCAGUUAAUGCGGAGACUUUACGGUGAGCUGCACUCCAUGUUACGAUCCGCAAUACACUCUCUGUAUGAGUUAUUUACAUUCUUCUAUCUAUCUUGUAUUCCAGACAGAUGUUGUAUUUUAUUAUAUUUUCUAGUAGAUGCUCAUGUGACACCGGGUUUUGGGAGUCCUUACGGGUUGUUCGCUAUUGUAGUUAUGAAAAUGUUAUCUUUUACCAAGUAGAUUCUAUU